UACGUAGGCAGCGAGCGUUGUUCAGAGUUACUGGGCGUAAAGAGUGCGUAGGCGGUUUUCUAAGUUUGGUGUGAAAUCUCCCGGCUCAACUGGGAGGGUGCGCCGAAGACUGGAAGACUAGAGUGUGGGAGAGGUAAGCGGAAUUCCUGGUGUAGCGGUGAAAUGCGUAGAUAUCAGGAGGAACACCUGCGGUGUAGACGGCUUACUGGACCACCACUGACGCUGAGGCACGAAAGCGUGGGUAGCAAACAGG
rnacentral:rRNA from 1 species